UACGAAGGGGGCUAGCGUUGCUCGGAAUUACUGGGCGUAAAGCGCACGUAGGCGGAUAUUUAAGUCAGGGGUGAAAUCCCGCAGCUCAACUGCGGAACUGCCUUUGAUACUGGGUAUCUUGAGUAUGGAAGAGGUGAGUGGAAUUGCGAGUGUAGAGGUGAAAUUCGUAGAUAUUCGCAGGAACACCAGUGGCGAAGGCGGCUCACUGGUCCAUAACUGACGCUGAGGUGCGAAAGCGUGGGGAGCAAACAGGG
rnacentral:rRNA from 1 species